AUGCAGUCGAGCGAGAACCAUGGCUUCGGCCAUGGGGACAGCGGCGAACGGGUGAGUAACACGUGAGUAAUCUGCCCUCGACAUCGGGAUAGCCCGGGGAAACCCGGAUUAAUACCGGAUAGCCUCUGGAGCUCUAGGGCUCUUGAGAAAAGAUGGCUUCGGCUUUCGGUUGAGGAGGAGCUUGCGGCGGAUUAGCUUGUUGGUGGGGUAAAGGCCCACCAAGGCGACAAUCCGUAGCUGGUCUGAGAGGACGAUCAGCCACACUGGGACUGAGACACGGCCCAGACUCCUACGGGAGGCAGCAGUGGGGAAUCUUGCGCAAUGAGCGAAAGCUUGACGCAGCGACGCCGCGUGAGGGAAGAAGGCCUUCGGGUUGUAAACCUCUUUCAGGAGGGACGAAGCCACUCGGGUUAAUACCCCAGAGGGUGACGGUACCUCCAGAAGAAGCCCCGGCUAACUACGUGCCAGCAGCCGCGGUAAUACGUAGGGGCAAGCGUUGUCCGGAAUUAUUGGGCGUAAAGAGCGUGUAGGCGGCCAAGUAGGUCCGUUGUGAAAAC
rnacentral:rRNA from 1 species